UCCUGCCAGUAGUCAUAUGCUUGUCUCAAAGAUUAAGCCAUGCAUGUCUCAGUUCAGGCCCUAGUACGGUGAAACCGCGAAUGGCUCAUUAAAUCAGCUAUGGUUUAUUGGAUCGUACUCGUUAAAUGGAUAACUGUAAUAACUCUAGAGCUAAUACAUGCUUCGAUGCCCUGACCCUGUUUGCUUACCUCUCUAUCUGCUUGCUUGCUUGCUUGCUUGCAGUUGCAGUGGUGGGCAGUAGCAGGGGAUGGGUGCACUUAUUAGAUCAGAAGCCAACCAACUGCUUGCACGUGCGUGCGUGAGUGCGCGCGUGGAGGCGUUGAGAGGAGGAGGAGACCGCUUCUGGUGACUCUGGAUAAUUGUUACAGAUCGCAGUCGGCCUUGAGUCGGCGACGGGUCCUUCAAAUGUCUGCCCUAUCAACUGUCGAUGGUAGGUGACCUGCCUACCAUGGUGAUAACGGGUAACGGGGAAUCAGGGUUCGAUUCCGGAGAGGGAGCCUGAGAAACGGCUACCACUUCCAAGGGAGGCAGCAGGCGCGCAAAUUACCCACUCCCGGCACGGGGAGGUGGUGACGAAAAAUACCGAUGCGGGACUCCUUUAAGAGGCUCCGUAAUCGGAAUGAGUGGACUCUAAAUCCUUUCACGAGGAUCAAUUGGAGGGCAAGUCUGGUGCCAGCAGCCGCGGUAACUCCAGCUCCAAUAGCGUAUAUUAAAGUUGCUGCAGUUAAAAAGCUCGUAGUUGGAUCUCGGUGGCAUUGUUGCCUGUUGGUAAUUGAGCGGUCGGUGUGUGGUCAAUGGUGACGACGAUGAUGCUCAGCAGCAUUUUCGCUGGCAGUAGCAGUAGCACAUAGCCUGCUGCGUGUGUGCAUGUAGCGAUGGCGGUGGCGGUGGCGGUAGUGGUGGUGGCGUCGGCAGUGAUGCAAUAGCAUUGCUGCUACUCUACUGCUGCUGCUGCUGCUGCUAACGCUAGGCUGCUGCAUAAGUGGUUGGUGUAAAUGUGCUGGUGCAUGUGCUUGUGAGGAUGUGUGUGUGUGUGUCUUGUCGUUUGUCUUGGCCAUGAAGAAGCACUGCCGUGUCAAGCUGACAAGGUGAUGGUGUCGCCUUUAAGCCAUGUCUGUGGUGUCACAGCCGCAGGUGUGGACGGGUGGUGGGCGGUGCUCUGCACACGUUGUGGGGCCUGUCGGCUCGUCUGCAUGCCUUGAGAUGCCCUUGAAUGAGGUGUCCGUAGGCGGAUGGCACGUUUACUUUGAACAAAUUUGAGUGCUCAAAUCAGGCCGAUGUUGCCUGAAAAGUUUUGCAUGGAAUAAUGGAAUAGGACUUCGGUUCUAUUUCGUUGGUUUUCGGAUCCGAAGUAAUGAUCAAAAGAGACAGGCGGGGACGUUUGUAUGGCUGCGCUAGAGGUGAAAUUCAUGGACCGUAGCCAGACAAACUAAAGCGAAAGCAUUCGUCAAGCAUGUUUUCAUUGGCCAUGAGCGAAAGUCAGAGGCUCGAAGACGAUCAGAUACCGUCCUAGUUCUGACCAUAAACGAUGCCAACUGACGAUCCGUGGUGGUAGUAGUAUUACCUUCCCCACGGGCAGUCGCCGGGAAACCUUUAAGUGUUUGGGUUCCGGGGGAAGUAUGGUUGCAAAGCUGAAACUUAAAGGAAUUGACGGAAGGGCACCACCAGGAGUGGAGCCUGCGGCUUAAUUUGACUCAACACGGGAAAACUCACCCGGGCCGGACACUAUGAGGAUUGACAGAUUGAGAGCUCUUUCUUGAUUUGGUGGUUGGUGGUGCAUGGCCGUUCUUAGUUGGUGGAGCGAUUUGUCUGGUUAAUUCCGAUAACGAACGAGACUCCAGCCUGCUAAUUAGUGCAUCUGUCCACUGCACCUGUGAAGGUGGCGUUGGAUAAUAUCACUUGCCAUGGGUGGAUGGGCUCUGCUCGCUCAGCCCUGCCUGCCUGCCUGUUAUCUGCCUGCGGCUCCUCCUUCUUUCUUCUCCUGCCCUUUCUCCUUCUUCUUCUUCUUCUCCUUCAUUUUGCUUUGCUACCCUCCUUCACUGCCUGCGGUGGUGGUGGAGGAGUGGGGUGUGAGCAAGGUGUUGGAUGUAUGUGGAGGGGAGGUGGGGUAGGGUGGAGUGGGGGGUGGGUGGAUGGAUGGAUGGAUGGGUGGGUGGAUGAACGGAUGGGAUGAGUGGUACUUGACGCUCGUGGUAAUGUUAGUCUGGUGUCAGCCUCCGGGUGUGGCGCGAAUGCCUACUUCUUAGAGGGACAAGCGGGAGAAGCCGCACGAAAUAGAGCAAUAACAGGUCUGUGAUGCCCUUAGAUGUCCGGGGCCGCACGCGCGCUACAAUGACGGUGUCAACGAGUUAGACCUUCUGGCCCGAAAGGGUUGGGCAAACUGGUCAAUCACCGUCGUGACAGGGAUCGGGGCUUGGAAUUGUUCCCCGUGAACGAGGAAUUCCUAGUAAGUGCAAGUCAUAAGCUUGCGCUGAUUACGUCCCUGCCCUUUGUACACACCGCCCGUCGCUACUACCGAUUGAAUGGUUUAGUAAGGUCCUUGGAUUGGCGUCAUUGUGGCAGUGGCCGAGAGGUCACGGCCCGACAGGCGCCGAGAAGACGACCGAACUUGAUCAUUUAGAGGAAGUAAAAGUCGUAACAAG
rnacentral:rRNA from 1 species